AGAUUGAACGCUGGCGGCAGGCCUAACACAUGCAAGUCGAGCGGCAGCACGGGUACUUGUACCUGGUGGCGAGCGGCGGACGGGUGAGUAAUGCCUAGGAAUCUGCCUGGUAGUGGGGGGAUAACGCUCGGAAACGGACGCUAAUACCGCAUACGUCCUACGGGAGAAAGCAGGGGACCUUCGGGCCUUGCGCUAUCAGAUGAGCCUAGGUCGGAUUAGCUAGUUGGUGGGGUAAUGGCUCACCAAGGCGACGAUCCGUAACUGGUCUGAGAGGAUGAUCAGUCACACUGGAACUGAGACACGGUCCAGACUCCUACGGGAGCAGCAGUGGGAAUAUUGGACAAUGGGCGAAAGCCUGAUCCAGCCAAUGCCGCGUGUGCGAAGAAGGUCUUCGGAUUGUAAAGCACUUUAAGUGGAGAAGGCAGUUACCUAAUACGUAUCUGUUUGACGUUACCGACAGAAUAAGCACCGGCUAACGUCUAGUGCCAGCACG
rnacentral:rRNA from 1 species